GAAUCUUGGAUAUUAAAGUCUAAAUAAAACAACAGAUCAACAGACGUCAAGUAUAUUUAUUUCCAGAGAAGUCAAAUAAAUGCACUUGCAUGUGUACACGGACUCUCUCACACAACAUACACACACUCCUACAAACUACUCACACAGGAUAGAAACAGUUCAGCAAAAAAAGCACAAUUUCAGCACUAGUUAAGAAAUGGAUGAUGUCUAAAGCCAAACAUCCUUCUGUAACAAACAGCUCAACAGAUCAACAUUUAUUUUAAGGGAAAAUCCAUCCCUUUAACUUCCUGUUUAAAUAAAAAGGGUACAAUUAAAAUGUUAUCAUUUUAGGAACAAUAUUUACAAUUUUUUCAAAGACGACAUGCUCGAUCUGUACAGCAUUGAUCGGGAACACACUUUUAGAACCACACACACACACACACACAGAGAAAGAGAGCUGGACUCUCAGAACAUUUGAUACGAUUGAUAAAUUUGCAUAUUCAGGAAGGUUCACAUGUACGGCACAAAGUGAUGUCUGAAACGCAAACAUGGCUGCGCUCUCCAUCCUCUCAACAAUCAGCUGCAUUCUAUUCAUUUUUAAUUGCAGCUUCAGGGAAAAAAAAACAAACAAACAAACACAACUCAAAAUUCAAAGGAUAAAAAGUCAGUUUUUCUUCAGUAUUUAUAUUUACAUAUUAGUGACUCAUUAUACUGUAGUAUAUCAUUUCAGACCACUAAAAUAAAUAAGGCAACCAAAAUGUACAAACACUCUGUAUUGCUGCUGUAGGUCUGUUAUAUCGCACAACAGCAUCCUGAUCACAAUCAGCUUUCAACAUCCAUCAAAUAUCUAUUAAAAUCACGUCCUCACACAAACAUCCCGGAACAUUCUAUAGAUAUGACUAAAAAUCACGACCUCAGGCGCUGUGCAGGUCACUACACCCGUGUGGAAAACUCCAGUGAUUGUGAUAUGAAGAAGCAUGUCUGUCGGUUUAAAACAUAUAAAGAGCAACAAAAAGCCUGAUUCAUUAACAACAAAAAGAAAUCCAGCCCUGACAGAAGACUUUUCAGGAAACUGUGGGAGUUUAGUGUCUGUUCUGAUUCUAUAUUGUGUGUGAAGAAACAGCAGGUAGCUCCAGGUCUGAAUUAUGAUCUCCACAUCACAUUUUACUCAGUCCCCAUGCAGGGAGCUGGAACAGUACUUUAUAAACUCAGGGUCAGGGUAUGAUGACCCUUUAGAGGAAUACGGAAAUCUGCAGGAACUAAAAUCACCCUGAAUUCAUUAAACAUACUGAGAUGUUCCUGAUCCAUCACUGAUGAGUGAAACAGUGUUCAUGAAUUAUUCCAGCUGAUUUUCACAAUAUUCUCUAUUUAUUACUUCUGAGGAAAGAAAUGUGUUUAACUGAAAGUCUCUGAUCAGAAGGUCAUGAGUUCAAGGGCCCAUAGGUGUAAUGAAUGUGUAAUGAAGGAGUAAUGAAGGUGUACUGAAGGUGUAAUGAAGGUGUAGGUGUAAUGAAGGUGUAGGUGUAAUGAAGGUGUACUGGAGGCGUACUGAAGGUGUAGGUGUACUGAAGGUGGAGGUAAUGAAGGUGUACUGGAGGCGUAAUGAAGGUGUAGGUGUAAUGAAGGUGUACUGGAGGCGUACUGAAGGUGUAGGUGUAAUGAAGGUGUACUGGAGCGUACUGAAGGUGUAGGUGUACUGAAGGUGGAGGUGUAAUGAAGGUGUGGGUGUAAUGAAGGUGUACUGGAAGCGUACUGAAGGGGUAGGUGUACUGAAGGUGGAGGUGUAAUGAAGGUGUACUGGAGGUGUAAUGAAGGUGUAGGUGAAAUGAAGGUGUACUGGAGGCGUACUGAAGGUGUAGGUGUACUGAAGGUGUACUGAAGGCGUAAUGAAGGUGUAGGUGUAAUGAAGGUGUACUGGAGGCGUACUGAAGGUGUAGGUGUACUGAAGGUGUAGGUGUAAUGAAGGUGUACUGUAGGAUUAAUGAAGGUGUAGGUGAAAUAAAGGUGGAGGUGUAAUGAAGGUGUACUGGAGGCGUAAUGAAGGUGGAGGUGUAAUGAAGGUGUACUGAAGGCGUAAUGAAGGUGGAGGUGUAAUGAAGGUGUACUGAAGGCGUAAUGAAGGUGGAGGUGUAAUGAAGGUGUACUGAAGGCGUAAUGAAGGUGGAGGUGUAAUGAAGGUGUAGGUGUAAUGAAGGUGUACUGAAGGCGUAAUGAAGGUGGAGGUGUAAUGAAGGUGUACUGAAGGCGUAAUGAAGGUGGAGGUGUAAUGAAGGUGGAGGUGUAAUGAAGGUGUACUGAAGGCGUAAUGAAGGUGUAGGUGUAAUGAAGGUGUACUGAAGGCGUAAUAAAGGUGGAGGUGUAAUGAAGGUGUACUGGAGGCGUAAUGAAGGUGGAGGUGUAAUGAAGGUGUACUGAAGGCGUAAUGAAGGUGGAGGUGUAAUGAAGGUGUACUGAAGGCGUAAUAAAGGUGGAGGUGUAAUGAAGGUGUACUGAAGGCGUAAUGAAGGUGGAGGUGUAAUGAAGGUGGAGGCGUAAUAAGAGUGUAGGUGUAAUAAGGCUGAAAAAAGCUUGCUAUUAAUUGGUGUGAAAAAAGAAAACCAGAACUACUUUUUCACAUGAAAGAAUGUGUUAUUUGUUGCAUCUUAAAAUCAUAAAAUCAAAUAAUAAAAUUAAUGGUGUUUUUUACUUUAUUGCUCCCGUGUUUUAACUCCCGGUAGUGAACUUUGCGUCUCACCUCUGUAUUAUAGAAACACAUUACUGUUUGAUGAUCAGAGUGGUGAAUUGACCUUAUACGCUUUUUUAAAUAAUUGAUUAUCCCUAAGUUUUGAUUCUUUUCUCUGUACAUGGAAAUGCCAACAUUCCUGUCCUGAAUAAACACCUUUCAUUUCAUUGCUCUGGCUGCUUAGGGGCAUGUUGUAGUAAAGCAGGUAAACCAGAAGAUCAGACUGGAUAAAAACACUGUAGAAUAAUAAAUCUAUCAUUUCUCUCGUGAUGUAGUGUACAAUAUAACCUCACCUGUAGCUCCUUCAAUCAAACGAGAACAAGCUUCCUCCAAACUCACGUUACAUACCAAACAUCUUCUCUGUUCACAGAAACACACUCAGAGAAUCACACAGUAGAAAAAGUAGAAAAUAAAUAAAUACAUGAAUGAGAGGAAUGUUAUUUAAAAAAAGGACAGUUAUUACUGUUCAUUGUGGUGCUGUGAGAAGACAAUGACGAGGGGAAUGAAGAGGAGGAAGAACAAUAAAGGGAGAAUGAUUGGAAGAUGAUAAGAAGAGAAAGAUGCAGUGUAUGUUGAUAAGGAUAAUAAGAGGGUAAUGAUGAGGAAGAUGAAGAGGAUGAAGAGGAUGAUGA